rnacentral:rRNA from 1 species
GUCAAAUAUAUUAAAAUUUAUGAUGGAUACCUAGGCAUUUAGAGUCGAUGAAGGGCGUGGAUACCAACGAAAUGCUUCGGUUAGUUGGAAACAAACUUUGAUCCGAAGAUUCCCGAAUAGGAAAACCUAUAUAACUACUUAAUGAAUUCAUAAUUAAGUAAGAGACAACCUGCUGAAUUGAAACAUCUUAGUAAGCAGAGGAAAAGAAAGCAAACGCGAUUUCCUUAGUAGCGGCGAGCGAAACGGAAAUAGUCUAAUCAUUAAAAAAAAACUAUUAAACGAAGCAGCUGAAUCCUGCACCAUAGAUGGUGAAAGUCCAGUAGUUUAAAAUAGAAAAAGUGAUUAUAAAGUAGCAUGGAACACGUGAAAUUCCGUGUGAAUAUACGAGGACCACCUCGUAAGACUAAAUACUCCUAAAUGACCGAUAGUGAAACAGUACCGUGAGGGAAAGGUGAAAAAGAACCCCUGUAGGGGAGUGAAAAAGAACAUGAAAUCGUAAAUUGACAAUCAGUGGGAGCUAAAGUGACCGCGUGCCUGUUGAAGAAUGAGCCGGCGACUUAUAGGUAGUGGCUUGGUUAAAAUAACUUUUUGGAGCCAAAGCGAAAGCAAGUCUGAUAAGGGCGUAUGUCACUAUUUAUAGACCCGAACCCGAGUGAUCUAACCAUGGCCAGGAUGAAUCUUGGGUAACACCAAGUGGAAGACCGAACCGACUGAUGUUGAAAAAUCAGCGGAUGAGCUGUGGUUAGGGGUGAAAUUCCAGUCGAACUCGGAGCUAGCUGGAUCUCCUCGAAAUGUGUUGAGGCGCAGCGGUUGAUGAUGGGCUAUUUAGGGGUAAAGCACUGUUUCGGUGCGGGCUGCGAAAGCGGUACCAAAUCGUGGCAAACUAAGAAUACUAAAUAUGCUUUCCAUCAACCAGUAAGACAGUGGGGGAUAAGCUUCAUUGUCAAAAGGGAAACAGCCCAGAUCACCAGUUAAGGCCCCAAAGUGAUGGCUAAGUGAUAAAGGAAGUAAAAAGGCAAAGACAACCAGAAGGUUUGCUUAGAAGCAGCCAUCCUUGAAAGAGUGCGUAAUAGCUCACUGGUAGAGCCUUUUUGCGCCGAAAAUGAACGGGGCUAAGUCAUCCGCCGAAACUGUGGGUUACAGUUUUUAACUGUUACGGUAGAGGAGCGUUCCGUUAUAGGGUGAAGUUAAAAUGUGAAUUUUAAUGGACGAAACGGAAGUGAGAAUGUCGGCUUGAGUAACGAAAACAUUGGUGAGAAUCCAAUGCCCCGAAAACCUAAGGGUUCCUUCACAAGGUUCGUCCAUGGAGGGUUAGUCAGGACCUAAGGCGAGAUCGAAAGGUGUAGUCGAUGGAGAACAGAUUAAUAUUUCUGUACUUGAUUAGAUUUGGUAAAGAGGGACGGAGAAGGCGGUAACUAGCUAGAUAUUGGUAUUCUAGUAGAAGUAUUGAAUUCUUAAAACAAUGAAAAAAAACUUUGUUUAGAAAACAUGCGACCUGACUAGAACUUUAUUAUAUAAAGUUUUGGUUUAGUUUUAGUCAUACUUCCAAGAAAAGCUCUUAUUAUCGUUAAAUUUAAUCAACCUGUACCCUAAACUGACACAAGUAGGUAGGUAGAGAAUACUAAGGGGCGCGAGAUAACUCUCUCUAAGGAACUCGGCAAAAUGGCCCCGUAACUUCGGGAGAAGGGGUGCCUAUAUUUAUAUAGGCCGCAGUGACCAGGCCCAGGCGACUGUUUAUCAAAAACACAGGUCUCCGCAAAGUCGUAAGACAAUGUAUGGGGGCUGACGUCUGCCCAGUGCCGGAAGGUAAAAGAAGUUGGUUAUUCCUCGGAAAAAGCUGACGACUGAAGCCCCGGUGAACGGCGGCUGUAACUCUGACAGUCCUAAGGUAGCGAAAUUCCUUGUCGAGUAAGUUUCGACCCGCACGAAAGACGUAACGAUCUGGGCACUGUCUCGGAGAGAGACUCGGUGAAAUAGAAAUGUCUGUGAAGAUGCGGACUACUUAUACCAGGACAGAAAGACCCUAUGAAGCUUGACUGUAAUUUGGAAUUGGAUUCGGGCUUUUUUUGCGCAGUCUAGGUGGGAGGCGUUGAUAUUAAGUUUUCGGACUUAAUGGAGCCAUCAGUGAGAGACCACUCUAAAAGAGCUAGAAUUCUAAUAGGACUCCUUGAAUCAGGAUCCUUGACAGUUUCAGAUGGACAGUUUGACUGGGGCGGUGACCUCCCAAAAGGUAACGGAGGUGUGCAAAGGUUCCCUCAAGCUGGACGGAAAUCAGCUGUAGAGUGCAAAGGUAUAAGGGAGCUUGACUGCAAGACCAACAAGUCGAGCAGAGGCGAAAGCCGGCCUUAGUGAUCCGACGGUUCCGAGUGGAAGGGCCGUCGCUCAACGGAUAAAAGUUACUCUAGGGAUAACAGGCUGAUCUCCCCCAAGAGUUCACAUCGACGGGGAGGUUUGGCACCUCGAUGUCGUUUCAUCGCAACCUGGGGCUGGAGUAGGUCCCAAGGGUUGGGCUGUUCGCCCAUAAAAGCGGUACGUGAGAUGGGUUCAGAACGUCGCGAGACAGUUCGGUCCAUAUCCGGUAUAAGCGUAAGAGCAUUGAGAGGAUCUCAACAUUGUACGAGAGGACCCGAAGGGACGUACCGAUGGUGUACCAGUUCUUAUGCCAAUAGGAAACGCUGGGUAGCUAUGUACGGAGUGGAUAAUCGCUGAAAGCAUUUAAGUGAGAAGCCCACCUCAAGAUGAAUGCUCUCUAUUAGAUCGCGGCAAGACAAGCCGAUUGAUUGGCAUCAAGUGUAAGAUUAGUAAUAAUUUCAGCUGAGAUGUACAAAGGAUCGAUUGAUUUUGAC